rnacentral:rRNA from 1 species
UACGGGGGGGGGCAAGCGUUGUUCGGAAUUACUGGGCGUAAAGGGCUCGUAGGUGGCCAACUAAGUCAGACGUGAAAUCCCUCGGCUCAACCGAGGAACUGCGUCUGAUACUGGAAGGCUUGAAUCCGGGAGAGGGAUGUGGAAUUCCAGGUGUAGCGGUGAAAUGCGUAGAUAUCUGGAGGAACACCGGUGGCGAAGGCGGCAUCCUGGACCGGUAUUGACGCUGAGGCGCGAAAGCUAGGGGAGCAAACGGG